AGCGAACGCUGGCGGCAGGCCUAACACAUGCAAGUCGAACGCUGUAGCAAUACAGAGUGGCAGACGGGUUCGUAACGCGUGGGAAACUUCCAUUUAGUACAGAAUAGCCCAGGGAAACUUGGAUUAAUACUGUAUACGCCCUACGGGGGAAAGAUUUAUCGCUAAAUGAUGUGUCCGCGUUGGAUUAGCUAGUUGGUGGGGUAAUGGCCUACCAAGGCGACGAUCCAUAGCUGGUCUGAGAGGAUGAUUAGCCACACUGGAACUGAGCCACGGUCCAGACUCCUACGGGAGGCAGCAGUGGGGAAUAUUGGACAAUGGGGUCAACCCUGAUCCAGCCAUACCGCGUGAACAAUGAAGGCCUUCGGGUUGUAAAGUUAUUUUAGCGGGCAAAAUACUGAUGGUACCCGCAAAAAAAGCACCGGCUAACUGCGUUCCAGCAGCCGCCGUAA
rnacentral:rRNA from 1 species